rnacentral:tmRNA from 1 species
GGGGUUGACCGGUUUUGACAGCUUGUAGAAUGGUUAUGUAAGCAUACCGAGCCUUGCAGCGACGCUCGUUAAUACUAACUGCAAAAAAUUAAUUGGCGAAAAUAAUUACGCUUUCGCUGCUUAGUUGAAGAACAGUAAACUAAAGCUUAAUCCUUUCACAAGGUGAGGGGACGAAACAUCUCGCGGAUGGAGAUUCCCGAUUCCGGUCCGGUAACGAGGUGCUCAUCAACUUCGGGAUAGCAUCGCAGUAGCUCCGACAACGUUGCGAAACCUUAGGAGAUAAGGUGCGGCUUAGGGUGUCCGUCCCCUUGCCGCGCUCGAAAACCAAUGACGGAAUAAGUAUGUAGAAAGCAUAGUUGUUCCAAGUUUGGACGAGGGUUCGACUCCCUCCAGCUCCACC